UGGGGAAUAUUGGGCAAUGGGCGAAAGCCUGACCCAGCAACGCCGCGUGAUUGAAGAAGGCCUUCGGGUUGUAAAGAUCUGUCCUAUGGGACGAAAAAAAUGACGGUACCAUAGGAGGAAGCCCCGGCUAACUACGUGCCAGCAGCCGCGGUAAUACGUAGAGGGCGAGCGUUGUCCGGAAUUACUGGGCGUAAAGGGUGCGUAGGCGGUUUUUUAAGUCAGAUGUGAAAUACCCAGGCUUAACUUGGGGGGUGCAUCUGAUACUGGAGGACUUGAGUGCAGGAGAGGAAAGUGGAAUUCCUAGUGUAGCGGUGAAAUGCGUAGAUAUUAGGAGGAACACCAGUGGCGAAGGCGACUUUCUGGACUGUAACUGACGCUGAGGCACGAAAGCGUGGGGAGCAAACAG
rnacentral:rRNA from 1 species